rnacentral:rRNA from 1 species
UACCAGCUCUCCGAGUGGUAGGGAUGAUUAGUGGGCUUAAAGCGUCCGUAGCCGGCUUAGGCAAGUCUCCUGUUAAAUUCAGCGACCUAAUCGUUGAGCCGCGGGAGAUACUACUAGGCUAGGAGGCGGGAGAGGUCGACGGUACUUCUGGGGUAGGGGUGAAAUCCUAUAAUCCCGGGAGGACCACCAGUGGCGAAGGCUGUCGACUAGAACGCGCUCGACGGUGAGGGACGAAAGCUGGGGGAGCGAACCGGAUUAGAUACCCGGGUAGUCCCAGCUGUAAAUGAUGCGGGCUAGGUGUUGGGGUGGCUACGUGCCACUUCGGUGCCGCAGGGAAGCCAUUAAGCCCGCCGCCUGGGGAGUACGGCCGCAAGGCUGAAACUUAAAGGAAUUGGCGGGGGAGCACCACAACGGGUGGGGCGUGCGGUUU